ensembl:lncRNA
GUGGGGAGCAAGAGAGAGUGAGGGAUUUGUGAGCCAAAGCCUUUAUUGGAGUCUAGGGUGUUAUCUAAGUGGGCUUCCCUUGGGGAAAUCCAAUUAGUGGGUUUAGUGGUAGUAGGCGUACCUUCCAGGAUUCAUUCUACGACUUAGAUGUGGUCACUGCAUAGUCUAUGUGGGGUCUGGGGAUCAACAAGGUGAUCCAAGUAUGUGGUAUUUACAGGUCCCGUAAGAGAUGGUCAUUAGGAUGCAGUUGUAUAAGACAGAGAUUUGGACCACCCUGAGGAAUUUGGAGGAUGAAGAGGAACCUGAAACUGUAUCAAUGGUUUCUAAGCUCUGCUUCCAGAAUGAAGAAGUCCAACUCAUAUUUAAAAUGAAUGCCAAGGACAAGGAAGAAUUUGUUCAGAGCUCAGGCAAUGAUGGUGUUGUGGUGUUUUCUCUUGGAUCAACUCUCCAAAAUCUUCCAGAAGAAAAGGCUGAUAUUUUUGUUUUAGUCCUCACCCAAAUUCUGCAGAAACUCAGUAUAAACUCCAAAUCUGGUUUUAUGGAUAUAUAUAAAAAAGAAAGAAACUAGCCACAUUAUGAGCCAAUACUCAGCUCUAUGAUUGGAUAUUCCUGAAUUAUCUUCUUGGUAAGACUAUGAGAAAGUAAAAAUAAGCAAUUAGAUGAGCAACAAGGUGAAUAACAGUUUAACAGCUAAAAAUUCAAUAUUUUAAAGUUGUAAAAGUUUAUUAUUUUACUUCUAAAGCAGAUUUAUUUAAAAAAUCGAUCAUCAAUUUUAUAGAUUCACACUUUCUGUUGUUCGUGUAAGAGUUUCAGGCAAUGCAGAAAUAAUUAAUGCCUUGUUUUCUGAAGAUAGAAAAUUUCUGUGGUGGCAAUGUCCCAUGUGCUCAUCUUUUGUAGAAAAUGCUGCUUUCUUCAGUGAGUUAUCUGAUUGCUUUUUCCCCUUCUUUCUCAGAAAUUCUUUUAACAUUAUAAUAGAAUUCUUACCCAUUUCCCAAUCCGAUUCCAAAAUUAAGUCAUCUCAAAACCAAAACUUUUGUUACUCCUGGUGAAACUAAUGGGACCUGUUAAGCUGUUUAUGAUAGGUCUCUAUGGUGUGAGUUCCCAUGUUUGCUGAUCUGCCUAAUGACAUCAUUCACAUAAAGAUCAAAGGAACAGCUGUGGAGGUGAACAUAUUUACAAGUGCACAAUUGCUCAAAGAUUUGAGAAUUGUUAUUCAUAAUUAUUUGUCAAUAUUGCUACUUUUAAAGUUUUUCCAACCAUUGAUUAUGUCACCAAUCACACCAGAAAAUGUUUGAGGCCAUGUGACUUUUCUAACCAUUUUUAGUUUGGUAAUUCACCAUCUUGGUCUUGGACCUGAAGUGUUAUGCUGACUCACAAUAUGCUGAUUCCUGGAGAGUGCACAAAUACAAAAAAUGAUAACUUCAAUGGAUGCAGAGAAGCCAAAAGAGUAAAACUGACACAUGCAAUAGACCAUACACAACAGGAAAAUAUCUUAGGGAACAGUUUGAUAUGAGAAGCAUAAUGACUUCACUUUUUCUACAUGCUUAGCACUACUAGGCUAAGCAUAUAAAUUGAAAAUAAUGAUAAUAGGGGAUUACACUAGGAAAGGCUUACUAUUUUUCUAUAGAGUCCAUUUAGACCAUCACAGUCUACAUUUCCACCUUUGUCAACCGAUAUUUAUUGUGUUGCUUUAAAUAUAAGGGCCUAUUCUUUCUAAAACUUUAAAUAGUAAAGGUCAUUAAUCCUUUUUCAGAAAGAGAACAUGUCAACAAUAUGUUCAAAAGAAAUGGAUUCUUUCAAGGAAAAUAAUCAUAAUAUAAAAAGAACUCAUUUUAUGAAACUUUUUAAUUGACAGUGCACUUGAUAAACUUGGAUUUAUUAAUACUUUUUUUGCUGUACUUAAAAAAAUCACAAAUAUCCCAAAUCUCUCAUUUCUAAUCUUUAUUUACAAUGUAAAGUUAUUUACUG